rnacentral:rRNA from 1 species
UCCAGUGAUAAUGGCGGAAGGGUCACACCUGUUCCCAUACCGAACACAGAAGUUAAGCCUUCCAGCGCUGAUGGUACUUGGGCGGAGACGCCCUGGGAGAGUAGGACAUCGCUGGUU